UAUAAUAAAAUUGAAUAGUUUUCAACAUAACUGAGUAAAAGUAGUUAAUCAUGAUAUUUUUUAGUUUAGGGUUUGGCAACAUAUGUUGUAGUAUUGUAUGUAUUCUUAGGGUUAGAAUUUGGAAAGCGUAAAUGUUUUUUUUGAAAUAUUAACUUUUUAACUUUAUGUGUUAAUUUAUGUGUAUAGUAAACACUUUUUAAGUUUAAUUUGAUUUUGUGAAGUGUUUAGUUAGUUAAUUUAGUUUCGAGGUUAUAAUUAGGGUCUAAACGAUUAACAUGUAAGUCGUCUAGAAAGUCUUUUAUUUUAGUUUUCCGCUAAAAAUUUGAAGUCUUCUGGACGACUAACAUGUAAGUCGUCCAAGAAGUCUUCUGAAUCGAAAAUAUUUAACCAAAUUGGAUAUUUUGUCUCUCUAUAUAAAAAAUAAUUUACACAUUCUCUCUCCUCCUCUCAAAUGGCUGCAACAAAAAUGUAGUGUUC
rnacentral:lncRNA from 1 species